rnacentral:lncRNA from 1 species
CUUGAACUGGGCUUGAGCAGUGGGAAGGAUUUGGAGAGCGGAGGAAUGAAGGAGAGCAGAGAGGAGAGGCUUGGAGAUCAUUCUCCUCUGGGUCUCUGCUCACAGACCUUCCAUCAAGAAAUUCACUACAGUGUGUUGGAACAGUCUAUGUACCUGACUACCACACAAGGGCUGUUGUAAGGAUCAAAUGGCAUCAUGAAUGGAGGGUACCAAGUCCUGCACCCAGCCUGCAGUGACUAGCACCUGCUCCCUGCUGAACAUGGUGGCUGGGGCUGGACAUGGUCCUUGGGGGUGUGAUCUGAGCAGCCUGCAGCAUUCUGGGCCUUUCAACUGCCGCAUCCUGGUACCAGUCUCAUGCUUCCUGGUACCCUACAGAUGGCUGUCUCCUGGUGGAGUCACCAGGUUGGAGGGGUCCUCAGAAUGCCAACAGAACAGAGCAGCCCUGAGCUCCGGCACCUGUCACUGUGGCUUGACUGGAUACAUAUCUCCAGACCAAGGUCUCUUCUCAGAUUUAUUUUUCUCUUUUUUCCCUCCCACUGGGGACAAAUAGCUUCCAUUCCUGAAGGGAAGUUGCCUGCUUGGAGAUGGACAGAGGAAGAUAUUUGGGUUCAGCUUAUCCCCUCUGGGCACUUUGGGGGAAGCAGCAUGGGUUGGGGCAGGAGAACUCUAAUGUGUAUGUGUUAAUAAACUUACUGUUUUCUAAAAUUUUGUCAAAGGUAUGCAUGUUUAUAGUUUAAAGAGGUGAAGAGUUCCAUGUGGCCUACUGUAUUUUUCCUUCCUUGUAUAACUUUUAUUUUCCUAGGAGCUAAUAACUAUCUUGUUCUUUUGUUUGCUUGCCUUUCUCUGUACUUAUCACUAAUUCAACUCCAGAGUCUUUACUGAUUGCCUAUUCCAAUAUUUUCACCCACAUCAGGUGCUCUAUCAAUUUCAUUGUCCUGAAGAGUUUCCCUGACAGCCUUCUGACCUGGUGCCCUCAGAACAGGCAGCAUUCUGUGCCCGGGCCUCGUCUCAUCCCGGGAUCUCCCUUUAUCAGCUUCCUAGGGAUGCCCUUCCCUCCUCUCCUGUGUCAGAGUUUCCUGCCUGUUCAGUCUCCAUCUAUUUUGG